rnacentral:misc_RNA from 1 species
AAGUCACCUCGAGCCUUGGCUUGGCUCGGAUUUGGACGUUUGCCGUCGGGGCUCGUCUUGAAAUGCAUUAGCUUGCCUGCCGCAGACCGAAUGGUGCGACGAGUUGAAUCUUUCACCCCUGGGUCUCGUCGGGUGGGCUCACGGUCGUCUUUGCACAAAACUCUUGA